rnacentral:misc_RNA from 1 species
GUAAGUGUUACUGCUGCUGCUGUUGCUGCUCAAGUGAAGGAAGUUUGAGGCAAUUUAAAAGGUAUAUUUAUUUAUGCUAUGUUUAGUAUAAAGUUGUUUUAAAAGGUGGAUGAAGGGUCAAAUCAAAAAAAAAAUGUGGGUAAGUAUGUCCAUUUUGUUUUAAAAGGUGGAUGAAGGGUCAAAUCAAAAAAAAAAUGUGGGUAAGUAUGUCCAUUUUGUUUUAAAGGUGGAUGAAGGAUCAAAUCAAAAAAAAAAAAGUGGUUAAGUAUGUCCAUUUUGCUGAUCAUGGAAAACUGUUGGUGGUGGUGGUGAUGAUGCUAAUAAAGAUCAAUUUAGAAUUUAGAUGAGUAUUAUGUGUGUUCAUGCCAUGACUAGAUCAUGUUUUGUUGGUUGGUUGUUAGUAUAUGCAGAUCAUCAUUCUGUUGUGAAUAAAG